rnacentral:rRNA from 1 species
AACGUAGGAGGCGAGCGUUAUCCGGAUUUACUGGGUGUAAAGCGCGUGCAGGCGGUUAGCUAAGUUGGGGGUGAAAGCUCCCGGCUCAACUGGGAGAGGUCGCUCAAGACUGGCUGGCUCGAGGAUGGUAGGGGAAGGUGGAAUUCCGGGUGUAGUGGUGAAAUGCGUAGAUAUCCGGAGGAACACCAGUGGCGAAGGCGGCCUUCUGGACCAUCACUGACGCUCAGACGCGAAAGCUAGGGUAGCAAACGGG